CAUAUCUCUAAUGGACUUCAAGCUCUAAAGGACAUGAAAUUGUCUCCAUCCUUCUUCUCUUCCCCUUGCUUGGUAGCAGUUGAAGGACACCCAGGAUCUCAGCUCAGGGGAAAACAGAAGCAAGGAGCCACAGCUGCAGGUGGAUUUCCACACCGGGAUGGAUGAGGACUCAGACAUCGCUUUCCAUUUCCGAGUGCACUUUGGUCAUUGUGUGGCCAUGAACAGCCAUGAGUGGGGGGUCUGGAAGUGUGAGGUGAAAUCUGACAAUAUGCCCUUUGAGGGUGGCCAAUCAUUUGACCUGCGCAUCUGAGUGCUGGACAAGGAGGACCAGGUAAUGGUAAGUGGCCAACACUGCUACAGCUUUGCCCAUCGACUCCUGCCAGGGUCUGUGAAGAUGGUGCAAGUGUGGAGAGGUAUCCCCCUGACCUCAAUGUGUGUCUGAGAUUGAGGUGAUGACCACACUCCCCACUGUCGAGGAAUCUCUCUUUCUACGUGACCAUGCGGUUCCCAGAGCCUGCUGACAGCAUGAUCCCUCCUUACUCCUUCCCCUACACUUGCUCAUUAAAACUUCACCAAACUUCACAGGAUUUUGGCUUUUGCUUGAAGGGGAAAAAGCAAAAGUGGUCAUCACCAAGAGGGCCUGAGGGGUUUCAUGGGAGGCAUCAAGAAAUCAAAGAGAAUAAAGCUUCCUGUGGCACAAGGAGUGAGUGACAAGGUCCCUGGAAUGUCUGACAUGACAUUAGGAACAACGUCCAUCUAUAGCAUGUAGUUGACUU